AGUGAACGCUGGCGGUAGGCCUAACACAUGCAAGUCGAACGGCAGCACAGUAAGAGCUUGCUCUUACGGGUGGCGAGUGGCGGACGGGUGAGGAAUACAUCGGAAUCUACUUUUUCGUGGGGGAUAACGUAGGGAAACUUACGCUAAUACCGCAUACGACCUACGGGUGAAAGCAGGGGAUCUUCGGACCUUGCGCGAUUGAAUGAGCCGAUGUCGGAUUAGCUAGUUGGCGGGGUAAAGGCCCACCAAGGCGACGAUCCGUAGCUGGUCUGAGAGGAUGAUCAGCCACACUGGAACUGGGACACGGUCCAGACUCCUACGGGAGGCAGCAGUGGGGAAUAUUGGACAAUGGGCGCAAGCCUGAUCCAGCCAUACCGCGUGGGUGAAGAAGGCCUUCGGGUUGUAAAGCCCUUUUGUUGGGAAAGAAAAGCAGCAGGUUAAUACCCCGCUGCUCUGACGGUACCCAAAGAAUAAGCACCGGCUAACUUCGUG
rnacentral:rRNA from 1 species